GAGGUGAAGUGGUUGAUGCCCUGCUUCCAGGAAAAGCCUCUAAGCUUCAGGCCAUAUGUGACCGUACCCGAAACCGACACAGGUGGGUAGGUAGAGUAUACUAAGGGGCGCGAGAUAACUCUCUCUAAGGAACUCGGCAAAAUGACUCCGUAACUUCGGGAGAAGGAGUGCCUUAUUUAUAAGGUUGCAAUAACAAGAUCCAAGCAACUGUUUAUCAAAAACACAGGUCUCCGCUAAGUCGUAAGACGAUGUAUGGGGGCUGACGCCUGCCCAGUGCCAGAAGGUUAAAGAAGUUGGUUAGUGUAUGCGAAGCUGAUGACUGAAGCCCUGGUGAACGGCGGCCGUAACUAUAACGGUCCUAAGGUAGCGAAAUUCCUUGUCGGGUAAGUUCCGACCCGCACGAAAGGCGUAAUGAUUUGGAUACUGUCUCGGAGAGAGGCUCGGUGAAAUAGACUUGUCUGUGAAGAUGCGGACUACCUGCACCAGGACAGAAAGACCCUAUGAAGCUUUACUGUAACUUGAAAUUGGAAUUGGACUUUGCUUGCGCAGUAUAGGUGGGAAGCGUUGAAGAUAUUCUUGCGGGAGUAUUGGAGCUAUCAGUGAGAUACCACUCUUGUAAUGUUAGAUUUCUAACUUUGAACCAUAAUCUGGUCAAAGAACAGUUUCAGGUGGGCAGUUUGACUGGGGCGGUCGCCUCCCAAAUGGUAACGGAGGCGUACAAAGGUUUCCUCUGAACGGAUAGAAAUCGUAUCUAGAGUGUAAAGGCAUAAGGAAGCUUGACUGUGAGACCUACAAGUCGAGCAGGGACGAAAGUCGGUCUUAGUGAUCUGACGGUACUGAGUGGAAAGGCCGUCACUCAACGGAUAAAAGUUACUCUAAGGAUAACAGGCUGAUCUCCCCCAAGAGUUCACAUCGACGGGGAGGUUUGGCACCUCGAUGUCGGCUCAUCGCAUCCUGGGGCGGUAGUACGUCCCAAGGGUUGGGCUGUUCGCCCAUGAAAGCGGUACGCGAGCUGGGUUCAGAACGUCGUGAGACAGUUCGGUCCAUAUCCGGUGUAGGCGUUAGAAUAUUGAGAGGAGCCUUCUUUAGUACGAGAGGACCGAGAAGGACACACCGCUGGUGUACCAGUUAUCGUGCCAACGGUAAACGCUGGGUAGCUAUGUGUGGAGUGGAUAACCGCUGAAAGCAUCUAAGUGGGAAGCCCACCUCAAGAUGAGUAUUC
rnacentral:rRNA from 1 species